UACGUAGGGUGCAAGCGUUGUCCGGAAUUAUUGGGCGUAAAGAGCUUGUAGGCGGUUUGUCGCGUCUGCUGUGAAAUUUCGGGGCUCAACCCCGAACUUGCAGUGGGUACGGGCAGACUAGAGUGUGGUAGGGGAGACUGGAAUUCCUGGUGUAGCGGUGAAAUGCGCAGAUAUCAGGAGGAACACCGAUGGCGAAGGCAGGUCUCUGGGACGAUACUGACGCUGAGAAGCGAAAGCAUGGGGAGCGAACAGG
rnacentral:rRNA from 1 species